UAGCUCUAUCUGAUUUGGUCAACGUAGAAAGCUUCACCCCAUGUAUGUUGUGCAUACUCAUCUUAUGCUGUUCUGUCGUCUGCAGGUUCUGAUCGCUCUCUGAGAUCCGACUGAACGGCCAAGACGAGGUUGACUGAGGAAAAGGCUGCAUCUCUUGGGCUGACCUUGAAAGCAGAUGUAAUGUCCUCUGGCCCUCAGACAGCCUGAUGUUUUACUCUAAAGAUUCUGUGGUAUUAUGGCGACCGGAGUUUGACCUGCAGACAAUUUAAUAUCUCUUGGCAAAUGUGUUUUCAACAUUGUUGCAAUAAAAUACUCAAAA